AUGCCCCUUAUGCCUUGGGCUGCAAACGUGCUACAAUGGUAGGUACAAUGUGUCGCAACCUAGCGAUAGGGAGCUAAUCACUAAAUCCUAUCUCAGUCCG
rnacentral:rRNA from 1 species